rnacentral:RNase_P_RNA from 1 species
CAAGUCGACCAGGCGAUCGCGUUCGCUAAGCAAGGCGGACGAGGAAAGUCCGAGCACCGCAGGGCGGGAUGCCUGCUAACGGCAGGGGGCAGUGAUGCCACGGAAAGUGUCACAGAAAACACACGGCCGAUCCCUUCGGGGAGGCAAAGGUGAAAAGGCGAGGUAAGAGCUCACCGCGGUCCGGGUAACCGGGCCGGCAGGACAAACCCCAUCUGGUGCAAGACCGAAUAGGAGAGGAGAGACGGCCCGUCUCGACCGCCGGGAAACCGGAGACUCUCGGGUUAGGUCGCACGAGGCGGCUGGCGACAGCCGUCCCAGAUAGAUGAUCGCCACCUUCAUCGCGAAGGCACAGAACUCGGCUUACGGUCGGCUUGGACG